GUGAUUAUGAAGAAGAAUGCUUUUCUACAAGUGAUGUUGAAAUUAUGGAACCAGAAAUUAAAUCGAUGACGAAAUUGACCGGACAAAAAAGGAAAGAUGUGAAAAAUAGAAAAACGUU